GGUACUAGAAUACCCCACAAUUUAAUAAUCCAGUGUUAAAAACAGGGCCGGCUUUAAGGGGGGCAGGCUGGGCAGCUGCCCGGUGCCCCCACAUUUCGGGGGCCCCCACAAAGCCCCAAACAUAAGAGGUUCAUUUAAACAGAUAUUGGCAGAAGAUAUAGGAACUCGACAUCGACAAUGUAUCUCAAGUAUAAAAUGAAGGAGAAUAGGAGAAUAUAAUAAAUUGUUCAUGGUUAUGUUUUUCACCUUCCACCGGCCACAGAGGAAUGAUUGGAAACAUGCAGAUAUUAGGCUUAUGGAUCACGAAAUGUCUAAAGCACACGAAAGAAUUGGGCGUAUUGUAUUGAUACUGAAAUGGUCGAAGCAAUAAAGAAUUAUUGGAAAAUACUCAAAGACUAAUUUUAGUGUUAUAAAGUUUAUUUGUGAACGAGAUUUAGCAUUUCGCAGCGAAAAUGAGUUGUCGAGUUCAUCAC
rnacentral:lncRNA from 1 species